rnacentral:rRNA from 1 species
UCUUGGUCAUUUAGAGGAAGUAAAAGUCGUAACAAGGUUUCCGUAGGUGAACCUGCGGAAGGAUCAUUACCAGAAGUGUUCGCGUAACCGCAACCUUCCCACCCUCUGUAUAUCUCUACUUUGUUGCUUUGGCGGGCCGCCGCAAGGCUCCUGGCCGUUUCGGCUGGGGCGUGCCCGCCAGAGGACCCUUAAAUUCUGAAUGUUAGUGUCGUCUGAGUACUAUAUUUAAUAGUUAAAACUUUCAACAACGGAUCUCUUGGUUCUGGCAUCGAUGAAGAACGCAGCGAAAUGCGAUAAGUAAUGUGUGAAAAGCACUUUGGAAAGAGAGUUAAAAAGCACGUGAAAUUGUUGAAAGGGAAGCGCUUGCAAUCAGACUUGUUUAAACUGUUCGGCCGGUCUUCUGACCGGUUUACUCAGUUUGGACAGGCCAGCAUCAGUUUCGGCGGCCGGAUAAAGGCUCUGGGAAUGUGGCCUCCACUUCGGUGGAGGUGUUAUAGCCCAGUGUGUAAUACGGCCAGCCGGGACUGAGGUCCGCGCUUCGGCUAGGAUGCUGGCGUAAUGGUUGUAAGCGACCCGUCUUGA